UAGCCAACUGAUGCCAUGGCUAUAUGACAAUACAGUAAAUUGUCGGAUUGCACAAAUUGCCUCAGAAAACCAGAAUGUUGCAGCCUUGACAACUGACACAUUUAUUUAGUGGUACAGGGACUGGCUGGCUUCAAGAAAUAUUUCUGAUUCACAUCUGAAAAUUCUUGAGAAUGAUGCACAGAAAACACUUCUACCAAGAAUUGUUGGCAUGGAUAGGACACCAGAAACAGGAUGCCACUUCAUUCUUUGGGUUUUUGACAAGAUCGAAAAACAAAUAAGGAUUUAUGACAACACAGGACGUCACAUGAACAUUUCACCCUCAGAUAUGGACAUUCUGAAGUAAUACAUUUUAAUUACAUAUUUUAUGUUUUACACAGUUAUUUUAAAAACAUUUCAUGACUUGGGUACAGUCUGCUUUAAGUCAAUUUCU